GCCGGGAUAGUCUAGUGGUUAUGACGUCUGCCUUACACGCAGAAGGUCGCGGGUUCGACCCCGCUCCUGGUA
rnacentral:tRNA from 1 species